rnacentral:ncRNA from 1 species
UUAUUGGCUAUGACGAGACGAGUAGAUAAGAAGGAAAACGACAGAGACCCUCGGUUGCUGAGAAGAGGGGUGGGAAUUCUUAUUUGAAAAAAUCCUCUGAGCUUCGUAUGGAACUAUACUUUUAAAGUUUAGGGAUGUUACGACGGUCUCCCACGUUAUCGGGAUAGGGUAUCGCAAAUAAAGCCGUACCUGAUAAGGCUUAUUGAGCGAUCAAUAAGUAAACUGAGGUGGUACCGCGAAAUCUGAACUCUCGCCCUCAAG